rnacentral:rRNA from 1 species
AACGAACGCUGGCGGCGUGCCUAACACAUGCAAGUCGAACGCGAACGGGUCUUCGGACCCUAGUAGAGUGGCGCACGGGUGAGUAACACGUGGGCAAUCUACCCAGGGAUUUGGGAUAACCAGGGGAAACCCUGGCUAAUACCGAAUACGUCCAUGAGGCCUUCGGUCCUCAUGGAGAAAGGUGGCCUCUUCUCGAAAGCUGCCGUUCCUGGAUGAGCCCGCGGACCAUUAGCUUGUUGGUGAGGUAACGGCUCACCAAGGCCAUGAUGGUUAGCUGGUCUGAGAGGAUGAUCAGCCACACUGGGACCGACACACGGCCCAGACUCCUACGGGAGGCAGCAGUGGGGAAUCUUGCGCAAUGGGGGAAACCCUGACGCAGCAACGCCGCGUGGGUGAUGAAGGCCCUUGGGUCGUAAAGCCCUGUCUGGAGGAAAGAAUCCCGCUCUCGCUAAUACCGGGAGUGGAUGACGGUACCUCUGAAGGAAGCACCGGCUAACUCCGUGCCAG